UUGCAGUGAUGAGUCAAACUAGCUCACUUUGACAUUAAGAAUGAAACGGUUUGAACAACUGAGCAGA